CCUACGGGGGGCAGCAGUAGGGAAUCUUCCACAAUGGGCGAAAGCCUGAUGGAGCAACGCCGCGUGGGUGAAGAAGGUCUUCGGAUCGUAAAACCCUGUUGUUAGAGAAGAAAGUGCGUGAGAGUAACUGUUCACGUUUCGACGGUAUCUAACCAGAAAGCCACGGCUAACUACGUGCCAGCAGCCGCGGUAAUACGUAGGGGGCAAGCGUUGUUCGGAAUGACUGGGCGUAAAGGGUGUGUAGGUGGUUUGAUAAGUUAGAUGUGUAAUACCCAGGGCUUAACUCGGGUGCUGCAUCUAAAACUGUUAGACUUGAGUACUGGAGAGGAUAGUGGAAUUCCUAGUGUAGCGGUGGAAUGCGUAGAUAUUAGGAGGAACAUCAGUGGCGAAGGCGACUAUCUGGACAGCAACUGACACUGAGGCACGAAAGCGUGGGGAGCAAACAGGAUUAGAUACCCGGGUAGUC
rnacentral:rRNA from 1 species